rnacentral:tRNA from 3 species
AUGCAUGGGGAAUGGUCGGGAUAGCUCAGCUGGUAGAGCAGAGGACUGAAAAUCCUCG